GCCGCAUUUACUAAGGUUCUCACCAGAAUUCUCAAAAUGGUAUCCAGCGUGCUUGCCGUUCUCGCCCUUGUUUCCGUAGCUGCUGCCAUUCCUUACGGUGGUAUAGGAAUGAUGGGAUAUGGUAUGGGCGGAAUGGGAUAUGGUCUAGGUGGCAUGGGAUAUGGUCUCGGCGGCAUGGGAUAUGGUCUCGGUGGCAUGGGAUACGGUCUCGGCGGCAUGGGAUAUGGUCUCGGCGGCAUGGGAUAUGGUCUCGGCGGAAUGGGAUAUGGUCUCGGUGGCAUGGGAUAUGGCAUGGGAUAUGGACAUGGUUUAGGAAUGGGUAUGAAGGGAUAUGGCCUCGGAGGAAUGUAUGGUAAAAUGUAUGGUAAAUAAGAAGUUACAGCCACCAAUCUAAGGACUGGAUUUGAUGACGGACCGGCAACGUUUCAAGGCACGAGCUAUACACGUGUAUUUUUAUUAUAUAUAUACUAGUAUAUGAUAUUUUUAGAUUAAUUAGUUCUGCA